UUCAUGAUUUGAUUUGGUCCAGAUGGCAGCGCUCUCGGCUGAGCGAAGAGGAAAGAAGGUCCUGAUCCUGUACCUCAUUAAUUUGGAAGAUUAAGUCAGUAAAGUAAAAUGUUUUGACCUGAGUGAUCUGAUGUCUGGACGUCUGAACAGAAAGACACCCCUUGCACUUUACACCAUUUUGUUUAAGGUCUGUGCAGCCUGUCUGAGCUUAACUGGAGAGAAGAAGCAAAGAAGGGUUUAAAGUGGGAUGUAGCAGGCCCUAACCCAUUAGUGACCAUGGAUACCACGGCCUGCCCUGCACCAUGGCAACAUCCAUCACUGGAAACAUUACCACGACACUGCCAGCGACACAGUAUAGCCUGCAUUUACUGAGUGAGUCAUUAUAUUUUCCCUUGUUUUUUAGAUAUAUUUUUAUCCAUGAAUGAACCCAUCAUGACAGAUCCACAGCAUGAUUUUUAAAAAGAAAGGAAGAAAACAUCAUUUAGGCCUACAAAUAGUUGCGUUCAGCUGUUGCUUUAUUUCCCAGAGGCCCCAAGAGGAAAUGGAUCUGCCUACAAUACAUUAAAAUCCACUCAGCCUACAGCACAUGUACAUUCUAAUACAAUACUGACACUGUGACACUAAUGCACUUUUAUUAUCAAAUUAGCUAUAGUCAGAGAUGUUUUCUGCAUUUUUAAUGAAUAAAAAUCAUAAAACAUUCAAAGCUUAAAUUUACAAUAAAGAUUUCACUUAACUAUGACUAUAACUGCAUUUAAUGAGUUUCAGUAUGCUGAUGACAGUUUGUCUGUUAUGCCACAAUAUAUUCCUAAAUUGAUAACUUGGUUAGCACCAUCUCUUUAAGUAUGAUUAAAAAAACAAACAAAAAAACAAAAACAAUGGUAAUCUUUGUCUAAGAUGGAUUCUUGUAAUUUAUUGUAUUACAGGUUAAUUACUGUUAGUUACUGCUAGCUGAAUCAAACAAAUGUAAAGAUUGAAUUCAGUCAAACUGAACAAUUUUAAAGGAUGCAGAUAUAGUUGCUAUUUAUAAGCAUUUUGUGUAUAUUCAGUGAAUCUAUCCACUCCUUUCCAAACAGGAAACACUCUACA